UAAUCUGCUUGCCUUGGCCUCCCAAAGUGCGGGAUUAUAGGUGUGAGCCACCACACCCAGCCAAGAAGUUUUUCUGUCCUCAGAGAGCUCUGGUUUUUAGAAACCUCUCCCUGAGAAUAAGGAAACCUGUCUGUAACAAGCAAAUGGAAUAAAAUAGAAACACUACAACUCUUAUUUUCUAGUAUAGAACCUCUAACUGCUCAGGUGGGCAGUCUACCCUUCGCUUAAGUGCUCCGCCCCUUUUAUUCGUCAGGCAGUGUGUCCUUAUAAUGGGCCUUUCUAUUGGUAGAUAAAAGCUUCCCUCUCCUGUUCACUCAGUUGCUACCCAACUAUCCUGUGAUGCCAAUCUUAAUAUUAGAAGAGCUUUCAAGUCCCCAUUGCCUCCUUCCUAUCUGCCUUACAGCCUGUCGUGGUUGCUGGAGAACUUUAAUUACAGUGUCGGGGUGUUCAGGAACAGUCCUAACCCCCUUCAUGUGAAGAUUGCAGAAAUGGGCUUGGGUCAUAUACAGACCAUCAUGAUGCUUUACUGGAGAACAGUAAGUUCUUUCACAGAAGAUGUCAACUAAUACAUGCAUUUUCUUUGCAGUACCCCAAGAGGCAGGAGCUGAUUCCUAUAUAGUUAGGAUAUAGCUGGCCAAUGAUCUCUUUAAAUGUAAUUUCCAUCUGCCACAUUUUAAAUUACAGGUUAUUGCAUCAGGAAACUGUUGAGUCAGAUUCCUGCCACAAAAUGUUGCUAAGUAUUUGGUGCCUUGGAAAGGGCAUUAGACGCACAGUGAGAAGACCAUGGUUUAAUCUGACAUUCCGCUUACUAGCUGUAGAAGCUUGAGCAAGUUAGUUAAUCUCUGUCUGUAUACUCAUCUGCAAAAUGAGGAUAAUGCUUAUCUUAUAGAGUGUUGUGAAAGCAACGAAGAUUGUGUAAAAGGGUGUCAUAAACUGAGAAGCACUGCACAAAUGUAAGGUCUCCUAAGGAAAACCUUUUUAAAACUCAAAAUCUAUAUGAUCGAAGAUACUUUUUCCUGUUGGGUGGAAUAUUGUAUAGCCAUUAAAAAUUAUAAGAGAAAAUAUAUUGAAAAAUAGAGUUUAAAAUGGUGAGUGUGCAAUUACAUCAGUGUAAAAGCUGUGUACAUAGACUAGAAUAUGGAAAAAAAUAAAUUAGAGGCAGUGGAAUUGAGUGACUUUUUCUUUAAAGCCUCUUAGGUAAAUUAGGUAUAUUCGGUUUAGUUCAAUAAAUUUUUAUUGUGCUCUCACUCUACCAAGCCCUACCAAGCUAGAUUCUAUGGGUGCUGAGACAAAUAGAACACACUCCCUCCAAUCAGGGACUCCCAUUCUGUACAGUCUUGUCAAAGUUUACUGUGUAGAUGAAUCACUGGGAAGCGUAUUAAAAAUUCAGAUUCUCCUACUCCCACCAUAAGGUCUGAUUCAGUAGGUCUGGGAUGGAGAAGCUCAUAGUUGGCGUUUUUUUAAAGAGUCACCCUGAGUAAUUCUAGUGUAAGUACUCUAAUUCUGUAUUGAGAAACCUGUAGUGAGGUUUUAAUAUUUUUACACUAAAGGGUAAGUAAUAAUUAUAUAAAUCUCCUGCUUAUUGAAGAAGUUAUUCUGUUCUCUCUGUAUGCUUGAGCUGGUUUUUAUGCCUUUCUGUCAAGGAUGGGAAAGCCAGGCUGCAGUGAUACCCUUUGGACCCCAUGAAGCAUAGAAACUACCAUGCCUCUCAACUUUUAUCUCUUUUCUCACUCCAUUUCUCUCCACAUCUUCUCCCAUGUUUUUUUCUUUCUUUGCGAGUGUUAAUCUCCCACUCUGGUUCCUUCUAUGCCUAGUAAUAUAUCAACAUCCAGGUGCUUCCCCUUCCUCUCUCCACCCCACCCCCUCAGCAGAUACAUCAAUCGUAUUGAAGACAACAACUUACAUCUAGUUUACUAAGUACAAACUUGUGCUGGCUGUUUCUCAAAAAGUAAGAGUGGGCUAUUUGUUGAUCAACAAUCAUUUUUUAAAAAAAUCUGACAUGGAAAUUUUUGUGUCAAGUUUCACUAUCAUUUAGUUCUUGAUGGAUUUUCUUCUAAUGGGUUAGUAGCCCUCAACAGAAAAUUUUAAAAGUCCUCUGCUCAGGAACCUGUCCUGCCCAGAGCUGGGGUGUACCCUGCACCCUGACUCAACACUACUUGUCUCCACAUGCCUGUAAAUGGGCUUGGGUGGCUUUCUCAGGCUACACACCUGUCACCUCUUAGUCGCCCAGAAUCAAAAUAUUUACAGCUCUGAUCACAUUGUCUGUGGCUAUGAGGCUUUAUUUCAAGAGUGGUGACACUCCAAAAUGCAGCUAGGAUUUCUGCAUUUUCAUGUGUUUAAGUUGUUUUUACUUCAGUAAACCAAGGGUUGGACAGUGGCUUCCAGACUUUCUCCUUUUGUUAUGUUCCUUUAGUACCUUACGCAAAUAAUGGUUGUCUUAUGUUGCCAUUCAUCUCCUCUGCCAGAAUGUGAGCUCAGUGACAGCAGAGACAAGAAUACAUUAAUUUUUAUAUCUGCAGUGCCUUGGAGAGUGCCUGACACUUAGUGGGCACUCGUUAAAAAACUGCCGAAUGAAUCACUAAGGUGACCAAAAACGGUGGGGGGAAUGCAUCCAUCAGAGAACAGGGAAGUAUUUCUUAAAAAAUUUCCCCCCAAAAAAAUAAAAAAAUAAAAAAAAAUAAAAAAAAAUUUCCCAAAACUGGCUUUUCUCUUUUUAUGUGUCUGAAAUAUCUCAUAAAUUUUUAAACUAUCUUUUUCAGCACAAAUCUAUCUGGAGCCGUUUCCUGAACAUAGGACCAAAAGGCAGGAAUCAAAAGUAAUAAUGAGUUUAGUUAUCUGUUACUGAAGGUGAUUUAUAGAGCAUUCUCCUGGCAUUGCUUCUGGAAUACAGUGACUUGGACUUCUGAAGAACAUCUCUAUGCUGUUCAUCAUUAUACCGCCAGCACCUAGCCUUGUGCCUGUGCAUAGUAAAUGCUCAGAAAAGAAAACAACAAAGUUUCCAGCUCUUAUUCUAGGUUGACACUGGACCUUGGAGAUGUUUGCAGCCACUAAAUGUAAUGCCACAUGAUUGUUGACCCAACAAUAAUCCAGUUAAAAAACAGUCUUCAGAGUUACUACAUCAUCAGAAUUAACCCUGAUUACAUCAAAUUAUGUUGAAACAGACCACAGCUGUUUGCCCUGUUGAAGCAACUGCUUGAGAGCUCCUCCGGAAGAUACAUCUGGGUGUCAGGAAGAUAUAUUUUGGGUUUAAUUUUGUUUCUCAACACAAAUGUAGGAGAGAAACACCCUGUUCUGCUGGGGUGCUUGGUGGGAGCUGAAAAUUUUGUGAUUCUUCAGCAGUCAAAAGUCAUCUCAAUUACCAAAGAGAAGGGAACCUGAAAUCUUUUGUUUCAGUUUUCUAAAGGAAGGAUGUAAGAAGAAGGAAAUUCAAAUCUGUUGAGUAUUGCUUUUGCCAGCAAAAAGAAGUUGAACUGAGUAGAGAGAAAGUGGUGCAAUUUUCUUUGGUGGCUUUAUGCAGUGGUAUGCUAGAGCUGGCUCAUAUCAACCCAGGACAAUCGACUUCAAUUGUGAAGAAUUUUGUAAGAUGGCUGUUAAAAUGUAACAUCAUUAAAAAUAAAUUGUAAUAAAAAAAUGGGAAAUAAGUAUUGGAAAAGAUGUGGACCGAUUGGAACCCUCACACAUUGCUGAUGGGAAUGUAAAAUGGUGUAGCCACUGUGGAAAAAAGUUCAGCAGUUCUUUAAAAAGUUAAACAGUGUCACCAUAUGACUCAGUAUUUUCACACCUAGAUAGAUACCUAGAUUGAAAACAUAUGUCCACACAAAAACUUG